rnacentral:rRNA from 1 species
CCUACGGGGGACAGCAGUGAGGAAUAUUGGUCAAUGGGCGCGAGCCUGAACCAGCCAAGUAGCGUGAAGGAUGACUGCCCUACGGGUUUUAAACUUCUUUUAUAAAGGAAUAAAGUGAGGCACGUGUGCCUUUUUGUAUGUACUUUAUGAAUAAGGAUCGGCUAACUCCGUGCCAGCAGCCGCGGUAAUACGGAGGAUCCGAUCGUUAUCCGGAUUUAUUGGGUUUAAAGGGAGCGUAGAUGGGUUGUUAAGUCAGUUGUGAAAGUUUGCGGCUCAACCGUAAAAUUGCAAUUGAUACUGGUAGUCUGGAGUACAGUGGAGGUAGGCGGAAUUCGUGGUGUAGCGGUGAAAUGCUUAGAUAUAACGAAGAACUCCGAUUGCGAAGGCAGCUUACUAAACUGCCACUGACAUUGAUGAUCGAAAGUGUGGGUAUCAAACAGGAUUAGAUAACUAGGC